GCAUUAAAAACCAUUUCCCUUCAAACCCCCUUUUCUUUUCUUCCCUUCCUCCUCAUCUUCUCAAACAAAGAAGCUGCAACAAAAUGCUCAAUAACUUACUUAACCCCACCUAUAUAGAAACUUAUAAACCCAAAACAUUAUUUAUAUCUACAUAACAAGACAGCAGCUUGCUCCUGCUUCGUUACAAUAAAAAUUUACGAGUCUUAAAUAUUCCAAAACAACCUCUUUGGCUUCUCUUUCUUCGCCUUCUUUGUUUCUUUUUUUCCCCUUUUCAUUUUCGCCUUGAAUGUCACAUGAGACACACCACCCUCUCCAGUACAUUACUGCUACAUUAUCAUAAACCUAACUUCGUGGUUCUUUU
rnacentral:misc_RNA from 1 species